AUCCAGCUGACACGUCUCAAAUCGGAUGAAACACGCGUCCUGGAU
rnacentral:hammerhead_ribozyme from 1 species